GGUGAUGAUGAUGAAGUAACCGAU
rnacentral:siRNA from 1 species